UGUUAAAAAUUUCAUCUAUUUUUAUUGUUAAGAAUUUAUCAAUAUACGUUAGAAUGAGGUGUACAAGGCAUGGUACAUCACAUAUAACUAUCUAGUUAUUUCGUCAAUUUUUAACCGUAAGAAUGAGUGAAAUUUUUAACA
rfam:Gossypium raimondii Chr01_contig_267, whole genome shotgun sequence.